ACCUCAAAAGGAAGGUUGGGAUUGAUUUUGGGGGUUAUGGUACCAACAGUUAAGGAAUUAGGGGCCAAAAAAGGGGCCAAAAAUAAGCAUUUUUGUAACUUCCAGACAUAACUUGUAUGUUAGUGUAUGGAUCUCUCUGACAUUGUACCACAAGGUUCCAUAUCACACAGGGAAUGCUAAGAUUGAUUUUGGGGGUAAUUGCCUCAAAAUAUUAGGAAUUAGGGGCCAAAAAAGGGGCUAAAAACAAGCAUUUUUCUAGUUUCAUGACAAUAACUUGUGUGUAAGUGUAUGGAUCUUUCUGAAAUUGUACUACAAGGUUCCAUAUCACAAAGGGAAAGCUGGGUUUGAGUUUAGGGGUAAUUGCCCUAAACGUUUAGGAAUUUGGGGCCAAAAAGGGGCCAAAAAACAAACAUUUUUCUAGUUUCCAGACAAUAACUUGUGUUCAAGUGUAUGGAUCUCUCUGAAAUUGUACUGCAGGUACCAUACCACAAAGGGAAGG